UAUGGUUAUCUGGAACUGGAAAGUAGAUGUUCUGGUGCUGUUGGUGUUACUGGUGGCCAGGUGCUCUGAAGGACUGAAUCGCACUCGCCUCUCCCUUCUUGGGCUCUCACCCACCAGCUGCCUGAUUGACCGCAAAAACCUGACAGCAGGCAUCCUGCCUGCUGUCCGCCUGGCCCUGCAGCACUUACACAGGCAUUCCUGGAUGCUGAGGAACUACGAGCUCCAGGUUACCUUCCACGAUACGCAGAUUCCUUGUCAUCCACAAGAAAUGCCUUGAUGGCAUUGGGACCAGCGGCAUCAACACCAGUACAACAUCCACCUCAACAUGCUGUCAAAAACCCUUCUCAUCUUCCUGCAGCUCUUGCUCCAAACACUCCUUCCCCUUCCCCCCCCCCCAACAAGACCCUGAUGUGAGAUCACAGGACAAGACCAGGCAUCUGCGCAUCAGGUCAAGAGGAGAUAUAGGAGAGGCAUCAGGUAUGAACCAUCCUCCUGCAAUAAAUCCCCCCCUUUUUAUAACUUAACUGACGUUUUAACGUGCCAUGUUCAUCAUAAACGGAUUAGCUGCCAUGACCGAACAGACUCAGAGUUUAUCUGAACUCGGCCUGAGAGCUGGCUGGCUCCACCAGGAAGGCGACUCCAGGCUGUGCCCCUCCUGCUUCACUGCUCACAGCGGAGGCCAAAUGCAGCAGCUACGGUACUGAGGGGUGCUCCCGUCCCACCGGCACCAAGGUGAACAGAGACUGCACUGCUACCAGAGGCUGACGUGUCACGGUGGGGCACAAGGUGUGGCUGCCGACUGCUCUACCUCACUUUAAAUGCCCUUGCAAUCAUCCACUCCAAAGGCUUCUUUCACUUCUGUGGACUGCUACGCUUCCUCACCGUCUUUCUUCAGAAAAAGCUUUCAAAUCCAUCUUUAGGCUGGUGAAAGAGCAUCGUUUCUGUCCUCUGAUAAAGAUAAUAAUCUAGGAGGCAUCACUUGAAUAUUUUUCCUUAUUUAAUCAGAUACAGUAAUACAACAGCAUUGACUCAGUGAAGCAUAAUUUAGUAAUAACUUACAUUCUGUAGUGGUUUUGAUCCAGCUGUCUGAAAACACUUUAAAACAUUAAUACAUUAAAUUUAACAUUGUCUCUCUUGUGAAGUAGGUAGGCAUUAUAGCCUUAAUUUUACAGAUGAGAAAACACAGGCACAGAGAAUUUAAAUGCUUUGCCCAAGGUCAAAUGAGAGAUUCCUGCUAGAACUGAGAAACUGGGAAGAGAAAUUGCCAGUGUGAUGUCAGCACCAUCAAAGCUGCAGCACUCCGCCCAGGUGUUAGCAUUUUAGGGAGCAAAAUCUAUGCAUCAGUGAAAUCUACAUACAUUAAUGAAUAUAUUUGUUUAUCUUCAUAGAUGUAACAAGACACCAGGAUAAAAGACUUCAUAAUAAACAACACAUUUUUAAAUUGUGAGUGCGUCCAAGUGAGGGGUAAAGGAAAGAUGUCUUUUGGACCAGCAAAUUAGUCACAACUUUCUUUUCCAGUGUUGUAGCCUAGCCAUCUAUACCUUUGGUUUGGUUUGGUUUGGUUUCUUCAUAUAGUUGUUUCUGAGAAAUAAACGCACUAAAUAAAUAAAUGAGUAACCCUUGCAGUGGCUGACACAGGUUAAUAAUAGUCUGGACUGCUGUCUCUGGAGAUGAACACAGUUCUUGGGCAUU